UAUAGAGUUCCAAUACAAUAUCAAACCAAAACCAAAAAAAAA
rnacentral:sRNA from 1 species